rnacentral:lncRNA from 1 species
GGUGUCGGCGCUGCAGGAUGACGCGAGCCUCUCGCGUCCCUGGUUUUCUCGGUCGCAGCGUUGAGUUAUUGGGUGGAAAGGCAUCACCUUAGAGUCAACCUUCUUUGAAACCACUGUCUCAGAGAAAUCCCUCCAAGACACAGGUAAUUAGAGAGGGUAUGUGAACCAAGGAGCCAAUCAAAUUCUCCCACAUAAGAAUUUGGGACACAGAAGAUGAAGCUGAGGACCACAAGGAUUUAGAUACUGAUGCUAAAGGAAAAAGGAAGAAGCAGAGGGUCAGCAGAUGUUGAAAGAGGUAUAAUCAAGCUCAUACUCCAUUAAACAGAAAGCAAACUAAGAGCUGGAGAGAUGAAGAGACUUGGUCAACAUCAUACAU